CUCCUUUAUUGGAUGAGAGUCUGUUCACUUGAAGCUAGCUCUUAUAGUAAGCGACGGUCUGAGGAACAACAUACAGUAACAGCGCUUUUUGUACAGACUGAACGAUAAUCCUGUUAUUUACAGGAACUGGGUCGAAUCAUCUUGAUGUAAAGAAAGAACAUGCGAUUUAAAUGGAUGGAAUAGAAUACUGGCAAGACUAGUGAUGCGAAUAGUAUUCAAGUUCAAUCUCGUGAUGUCCGAAGAACUGGGACUCAUUCUGCGUGGAUAUUUUACGAUACCCUAACACACGUGGAAAAAGUUGUUCUGUUUCAUCUACAUUCGUCUGUCGUAGAUGUGUUUGGCGGUGUCACUCAAUGUUGUGCGGUUUGAAGCCCAUUACGACACGCGCACGCUCCAUACGGACCAAUCAAUAGCAGACGAACAAUCCGCCCACUGUCGUCUGCGUUUGAAGAGAGUGUAGUAGAUGUUUUCAUUUCCCGCCAGAACCGCAGUGAGGUUGGGAAGGAUACCUGCUCGAGCUGCUAAUCUGUGAUCAGAAUUUGUGCUCUUCAUUUUUUUUUCAAUCUGUGAAUCAGUAUACCGAGUUACUCGAGGCCCGUCAUCAAUUGCAUUUACUUGAAAAAUUGAAAAUUAUAACACUGGCCCUGAGUAUCUACCUACAUAGCCUAUGCAUGAUUGAAAAAAAACAUCUGAUGCCAUGGAAGAGAAGAAUAUGGCUUCCUGAACAAUGGUGAUUGAGGUUCCACUGAUAGACUAAGAAGGAUUGUUAAAAAAAUGCUGUAUAACGUCGAAUAAUUCAAGCUAAAUGGACUUCAUUUUUUACCAAAAAUAACGUCAGACGCAUCGUGUUACGGAUGUAACUAAAACAGAAAAUUUAGGUGAAUUGAUUGUUGAUACAACAUACAAACUUAUUGUUCAUUUCUCCCAUGAAGAACACGAACGAACUAAGAUAAAUAAUUACAAAAACAAAGAGAACAUUCUAAUCAAAUCGUAAAUAAUUCAACUGGAGCAUCA